rnacentral:rRNA from 1 species
GUGGGGAAUAUUGCACAAUGGGGGAAACCCUGAUGCAGCGACGCCGCGUGGAGGAUGACGGCCUUCGGGUUGUAAACUCCUUUUGUCAGGGACAAUGGUGAUGGUACCUGACGAAUAAGCCACGGCUAACUCUGUGCCAGCAGCCGCGGUAAGACAGAGGUGGCGAGCGGUGUUCGGAAUUACUGGGCUUAAAGGGCGCGUAGGCGGGGGUGUAAGUCUGGGGUGGAAUGCUACAGCCCAACUGUAGAGCUGCCUUGGAAACUGCAUUACUUGAGUCGGUGAGGGGAAGGCGGAAUUCCUGGUGUAGCGGUGAAAUGCGUAGAUAUCAGGAGGAAGGUCUGUGGCGAAGGCGGCCUUCUGGCACUUGACUGACGCUGAGGCGCGAAAGCGUGGGGAGCAAACAGGAUUAGAAACCCUGGUAGUCC